rnacentral:lncRNA from 1 species
UGGCGCGGUGCCCGGCAGCCCUUCACUGCUGCCUUUUCAUUCCCCUUAAUUCACUGCCUUUCCUUGCAAGGAACAGAGGGAGAGCUUGUUCCAGCAGACGGGCCCCAUCCGCUCCUCCCGUCCGAGGGCUGGGAAGAAGGGAUGGAGGCGAAGGGAACUCUCCCACCCCUCCGGGGCCCCGCGGGCGCGCUGCUUCCCAGAAAAUACGGUAAAAAGCCUUCAGCCUAAAAAUAACUGCAGCCCGUGGCUGCCCAAGGCUGAGGAACCAGCCCCUCGGGGCUCACUUAGAGAUGUCAACGUGUGGCCAUUGGCCGGUCUCUCUGAUGGGCAGAAGUCAUCUGGCGAGGUGCUGAUCCUCCUAUAGUGUUUGCAAGAUCUUUAAGAAGAAUUGCAUGGCCGAUGUCGUUGCGUUUGAGUUGUGCUAGAAUACCCUGACCAUCAGAGGACUUGGAUUUUAUGACAGAAGAGAUCAGCACUGCAAAGACAUGGCGAUGUUGUUCACAUUGCCUGGACCUGAGCCCAGGGUCCGGGACCAGACCUGUCUCAUACCCACACCUUAGAAGACAGCGCCGUGUUCGUGUUUUCUUUUUGCAGGCUGAAAGCUUUCCUGGACCUGCUGAACACUUCUGCUGUAAUCUGUCGUGGCUGUCAGGGUGCCAAGAGACAUGCCAGACCCUGGGCCACAAUAGUGGAACAGACAUGCCCAGAGCUGAAAGCUGGCACAAGGUAGUGUAUAAAGUGAGAUAUGUGAAGCCACGGGCAAAUAGUUUGGUAAUCACGUGGGUCAGUUAGGCUUGGCACAGGGCAGAGCCUGUCUGCUCAUCAAGGAAGGCAGAGACAAAACUUCGUCAUAGAAUCAUAGAAUAUUUGAAUUAUUGAAUCAUUGAAUGGCUUGGGUUAGAAGGGACCUUACAGCCCACCCAGCUCCAACCCCAGUGCCAUGGGCACAGUUGCCACUCACUGCAUCAGGUUGCCCAGUGCCCCACACAACCUGGUCUUGAGAAGAGUUGGGGGACUUCUUAAUGAGAGCUACGAGGAUUAAACAAAAACAAUUACUCCAGAAGGACUGAGGUAAAGGACACAGUGUUGUCUCAGUGGGGUCGCAAACACAUUUCAAAACAGAUUUUUGCAGAAAGAGAUGUUUCCCAUUCCCCAGAUAUCUUGUUCCCAACAACGAUUCUCGUUUCACAGUAAGGUUCAGGGUUGGAGGAAGGAGCAUGAGCCUUGCUCAGCAUUGGUGCAGGGGAUGCUCCACGUGUCUCCUCACCUAGAAAGCUAAACCUCAAAGAAUAGAAGAGCACAAUUCACUCCUCGCAGAUGGGGAAAUGGUGCAGUGAGUCAGCAAGGCAGACCACAGAUGCUGUCCAAAAGCAUUGCAGCAAUUAGUUGGAGCAAGGUGGAGAUAUAUUCCUCCAAAAUGAAAGUCUCUGUAGGCUGUUACCAGUGCUCACAGCCAUCUAGUCCCUUGCUGAACAUUUCUGACCAAAAUCCUUCCAAGCUGAUCUAUUUUCAGCCCAACCCACUCGAUACCUUGAUUGCUACGCAGCUCUUUUAGCUGCUCUUAGGUAAACAUGUUGUCAUUCCCUGGCAUUUUGCCUCGCUAAGACCAAAAAUAUGAGUGGCACAGAAAAUAAGAAAAGCUGUUCUCCUCCGCCAGGAAAAAUGAUGCUAUUUCUGAAAUAAACUGUUUUUAAUACACCUCACCAGCCAUGUGCAUAUACACACAUGUAUAAAUAUACUUGACCCGGAGGUCCAGUUCCAGUGUUGGCAUCUUGUAUGCCUAUAUGGAGACAGAACAGAGAGGGAAUUAUGUAUGUACAAACCAGGACACACCUUCGGUCCAGUCUACAUCUGAAUGCAGAACGUUGGUUAAGACAAAAUACUGAGGUCUGAUCCCCAUUAAAACAGGUUCACAGGGACUGGUCCAAACUGAGACCAGAGAGUUAUGGGCUGUCAUGAGGAGCAGCUUCUACCAUAGCGACCCAUGUGCCCCAUACCUAAAACCAGCAUCCCCAGGGUUGAACCAGAGCAGGCUGGAGCAGAUCAGUGUCAGAGCUCUAUCCACAGCAGGCCUUGUUUUUGAGGAAUGACAGUGAUGUUGGCCAGACCUCCAAGCCUCUUUUUUUUUCAGAUUUCUCUUUAUCGAGUAAACACAUAGAAGUCAACAACAGAUGGAGCAUCACAUGGAGUUACGCAGGUCAGCAAAGGCUUCGGAGACCCCGUGAGUUUGAGGAGGCAAUAAAUUGGCAGGAGAUGUGGAUGGGAAAUUAUUCUGAGGGACGGAGGAAAAAAAUAGUGGGUUGAUCUGUCGCCCCUGUGACAUGCUCAGGUUUUGUGGAGGAAGACAAAGGUGGGCAGAUAACAAAAGCUCCUGGGUAGGAAGGCUUUUGGGUUCCUCUUUGGCUGCAAAUUGUGAAAUUCAAGCAGAAAGGUAACAAACUGGUAACAAAACGGGCAGGAGUAAAGCAAAGCGAGUGCAAAACAAAAGCAGAUUUUGUGUGACAGGAGCAGAUUGAACUGAUGUGACAAAGGAGGAGGAGAGCUUUUUCAGUAGCUUGUAUAGUGCUGCGGGGAGCUGGGAGUGACAAAUGAGGAAUUUGCACAAGUGGAGAGCAACAGCGUAGGGCUGUGUGUUGAGGAAGAAAGAAAGGAGAAAAGGGAGCAAAGGACACCUAUUAAUAAAAAGAAACCUACAUUCCAUUUAAGAUUUAUUGCUAGCUCAGAGCCAGAGAAUCUUUCAUGCCUUCGCAUCUCUGAGCUAACAUUACCCAAGAGUGGGUAGUGGUGGGGAUCCACUAUGAGCCAUUGAAUUCAAGUGGAAAAGAGCUCCGGUCUUUAAUAUGCAGAAAUUAAAACACUUUGGCUGACAGAGCUUUCAAUCUGAGAAACCUGCACUGUAGUAGCAGAAUAGCAUUAGUGCUCCUGAAUACACAGCUGGUAAUUUCCGAGCACGAAAUAUCAUGCAUUGAAAAUGAAAUUGCUCCAUUUAGGAGAUCGGUGUGGUGGGGAUGGAUGAAUUCAGUGCUGGAUGAAAAAUUAAUGGUUGCCUUCAGACAGGUGUUGACUAGCUGGUGGUGUUCCAAGAAAGGACGGUCCCAUCUGGUCAUGGGGAGAGCUGUGAUGGUGCGAAAAGAAGAGAGUGAUCACCAUGGACAAAGAGCAUCCCACGAACUCAUGUCAGAGAAGAGUUUUUGUCUUGGAGGUGGAGGGCUCAGUCGGUGGGAGAAGUAGGGCUACUUCUACGUGGGGUGUGGAUGGAGAAGUUUGAGGUAAAAUGAGGCUGGAUGGUUGGAGAAACACCAGCUAACAUUGGGUGUGGACUUGAUUACAGCAUAGAAUUGCCUCUGAGGGGAGGGGGUGAGGGGCUGCCUCACGUAGGGGAGAAAUAUAUGAUAGCAGUGGGUUGGAAAGCUGAGAUUUGGGCAAAUUUGAAUGAAAAAAAGAAGCACCUUUUAGCUGACAGAUGAUUAGGAUGCACUUGAAGGACAGCAGCGUGUCUUCCCCCACACCAAACCCUGUGUGCCACCUUGGCAGUCCACGGAGGCACCUUGAGCUGACCUAUCCGGUCCGUUCUGCCGGAGGAGGGGACAAGCAGGCCCCAGCUUCCAUCAGCUGCUCUGGGUUUGCAGUUAGGGUAGAUAAAUCCUUAUACUUACAAAGCAAGGCUGCCCGCGUGCCAAGUUGAGCACUGAAUCAGAAGAUGAGCUCCCUGGGGGGGUAAUCGGUAUCUUUCAUAAACUGCAAUUGGUCAGAGGAGAUGGGGAUUUUCCUGGCUCCAGCCCACGCACCCCUGCCCAUGCUGUGUGAGACGUGCAGGGCAAUUUACCUAUCGAUAGCUCACAGUGCUGGGCAAAUAUUUGUCUUAUCGUGGGUUUAGCAGUGAUAGCUAAAGGGCAGCGGCAAAACAAAGCCCAGGAAAGACCCAACUCUGAUCCAGUGCAGCUGGGAAAGCUGGAGGCUUUCCAGUCUGUGGGUGCUCAGCGUGUCCCUGCCCGGAAGGGGCUGCGGGGGGGAGCUGGGCUCAGCACUGCAGUGACAUUUGGAGAGAGCAGGAGGUCACAGAGCUGGAAGCAAACACAGGCAGUGACUGUCCUGCAGUGCACAGCCAGAGAGCUGCCUCUGCAGAGAGAAAACACAGGCAAGCACGCCUGAAACCUGUGCUUUGCUUCACUGCGCUUUCCUCCCAUAAAAAGUCUUUUAAAAAGUAUGAGUAAAUCUUUUUCCUAAAUCCUGUUCUCUUCCCUUCCCCUUCUCGUUCCCCUUCUCCCCCCUUCUCGUUCCCCUUUCCCUUCCCUUCCCUUCCCUUCCCUUCCCUUCCCUUCCCUUCCCUUCCCUUCCCUUCCCUUCCCUUCCCUUCCCUUCCCUUCC